rnacentral:rRNA from 1 species
UACGGGGGGUGCAAGCGUUGUUCGGAAUUAUUGGGCGUAAAGGGCGCGUAGGCGGCUUGGCAAGUGGAAGGUGAAAUCCCUCGGCUUAACCGAGGAACUGCCCUCCAAACUGCUUCGCUUGAGACCGGGAGAGGUGAGUGGAAUUCCCAGUGUAGCGGUGAAAUGCGUAGAUAUUGGGAGGAACACCAGUGGCGAAGGCGGCUCACUGGACCGGUACUGACGCUGAUGCGCGGAAGCGUGGGGAGCAAACGGG